AGCGUAGCUGAACAUCUUACGGAUGGCCCAGGGCUCCAAAGGCUCGUUUCCUAAGUGAGAGAGAGCCUGGCUGAAGCUGUAUUACCAUUCAUUCUCCAGCCUCCGAAGUCUCAAAGCAUCACUUCCACCAUACUCUAACUGUCAAGACAAACACAAAGGCCCAGAGAAGGGGUCUCACUAUGUUGUCUGGAGUGCAGUGGCUGGAGUGGAGUGGCUAUUCACAGAGCCUGUUCUGCUGGGACACAGAAUCACUUGCUCCAUCUCAUACAUUGAUGAUGAUUAAUUUGUAUGUGUACCUUCCAAAAAAAGAUGGUUGUGUUUGAACGGAGGCCUUCUGGACAGGAAAAUAUGGAGAGUGCGUGCUUUGGAUUCAAGACUGGGAAUGAGGGGACCAGAAACCUAUUCUGUGGCUGUUUCUUGUUAGGACUUUCCUAAGCCUCUGGAAAAGUGCAAAGUACAAUUAACAUUUGAGUCUGUCUGAGUCAUGAAGAAAUGGAGAUUACUGAAAAUAAUUCAUUUUGGUAUCUUCUUACAUCCUGAGAGACUAAUCUUUCCAAGUUCAUCUGAGGCUCCUCUUCUCCAUGACAACCUCAUCCAGGGAUUUCUUCCUGUCCUGGUGUUUUAUGACAUAAUCACAUCCUUCCUGAGAUAAUGAGCACACAAUUGCCUGGAUACCUGAAGGAAUGGAGACAGCCGCAGAAAACACUGCAGAGAGGUGGAAACAUCCGUUAAUAUUUUAAAAUCCCAUUACUGCUACCAACAAUAAUAAUGGAUGCAUAGAAAUAGAUCUGGAUUAGCUGAGCUUGAAACAGUCCAUCUCACACACACGCAAAAGAAUUUCAGAUACAGUGAACCCACACGUUGAAGCUUUCUCGUAUAAUAAAAAUUUCAACUGUUCUGUUGAAUCAUCUGCCUGAUUGGAGGCUACAGAAAAGAUGUCAUCUUAGGAGUGCUUGCUCUGAGUGAGGCUCAUCUUCAAAUCUGAAUGACCACAAGGAGAUUUGAUUAUAUAUGUGAACACCUCUGAAGGCACAGCCCGCCCAGAAGGCAGACAGGUCAGGCUGCUUUUUCUUCAUUGGUUGGAUUCAAUCCUCUGGGCGGCUCAGACGUAACUUAAGCAUGAUUAAACUUUAGAAGAAGCUGCCAGGAAGACUGUGAAAUCUUCAUGCCCAAGGAUCCCUAAAAUUAGGAGCAACAACCACUUGGCUCAGACGGUUUAUGGAGGCAAAGGUUUGGAUGGGAUUAGAGAUUUCUAAAUGUGAGUUCGUGUCCUCUGCCAGACCACCUUACUUCCACCAUUCCUCAGCAAAUCAAGAAAAACAGGAGAAAAGACAUGCCUUUCCAUAAGUUAAAUCUAUUCUGUUUUAAUUCUAUAUUAUAUCUGAUGUACAACUUCUUUUGUUUGUAACACCAUAUUGUUGCUAGUAACUGGAAAUUAAUUUUCACAUGCCUCAGCUUAGAAAAAUAAAAAGCAGCCCUGCAUCAA